rnacentral:lncRNA from 1 species
UGAUUUGUAGUAGAUCGAUCUAAUGCUCUAGAUUAGACCGACUGGAUGUCGGAUGCUACCGCAUAGCCAGCCCUAUAAGGAUUUAGAAUUUUUAUUUUGUAAAUAAUCAUGAUUAAAAUUUGUUAAAAGUAUAAUUUUGGAUAUUAGAUCUUAAAAGAUAAAUUUUUGAAGUUAUGUGGAUUUAUUGCAGCGUAUGUGAGGUAAGUAAUGAUCUACCUUCUCUAAAUCU